CCUACGGGUGGCAGCAGUGGGGAAUAUUGCACAAUGGGGGAAACCCUGAUGCAGCGACGCCGCGUGAGUGAAGAAGUAAUUCGGUAUGUAAAGCUCCAUUAGUAGGGAAGAAAAUGACAGUACCUGAUCAAGAAGCCCCGUCCAACUACGUGCCAGCAGCCGUGGUAAUACGCAGGGGGCAAGCGUUAUCCGGAUUUACUGGGUGUAAAGGGAGCGUAGACGGGAGCACAAGUCUGGAGUGAAAUGCCGGGGCUUAACCCCGGAACUGCUUUGGAAACUGUGAGGCUAGAGUGCAGGAGAGGUAAGUGGAAUUCGUGGUGUAGCGGUGAAAUGCGUAGAUAUUAGGAAGAACACCAGUGGCGAAGGCAGCUUACUGGACUGUAACUGACGUUGAGGCUCGAAAGCGUGGGGAGCGAACAGGAUUAGAUACCCUUGUAGUC
rnacentral:rRNA from 1 species